UUCGGAGGUACUCGAGUGGCGAACGGGUGAGUAACACGUGGGUGAUCUGCCCUGCACUUCGGGAUAAGCUUGGGAAACUGGGUCUAAUACCGGAUAGGAGCCAUCUUUAGUGUGGUGGUUGGAAAGUUUUUCGGUGUAGGAUGAGCUCGCGGCCUAUCAGCUUGUUGGUGGGGUAAUGGCCUACCAAGGCGGCGACGGGUAGCCGGCCUGAGAGGGUGUACGGCCACAUUGGGACUGAGAUACGGCCCAG
rnacentral:rRNA from 1 species